rnacentral:rRNA from 1 species
UACGAAGGACCCGAGCGUUAUCCGGAUUCAUUGGGUUUAAAGGGUGCGUAGGCGGAUUGAUGAGUCAGUGGUGAAAGCCCAUCGCUUAACGAUGGAACUGCCAUUGAUACUGUCGAUCUUGAGUACAUUUGAAGUGGGCGGAAUGUGUCAUGUAGCGGUGAAAUGCUUAGAUAUGACACAGAACACCGAUUGCGAAGGCAGCUCACUAAACUGUAACUGACGCUGAGGCACGAAAGCGUGGGGAUCAAACAGG